CUUGGUAAUAUUCUAACUCAUCCAAUUCUGAUUCCCUCUGCUUAAAAAUCUCAUCAAUUUGCUGCAGCACCUUCUUUUCCCCUGCUCUUAUUCCCACUGCAAUCUCAAGCCUUGGGUUAAGAUCCGCCCCUUCUAAUUUUUCAUCCUCUUCAAUAGUGGUAUGGUAUCCAGAAAGAGCAGAUUUACAAGCUUCUCGGACCACUCUGCAUACAAGCUCCUCAUUAGCACGACUUACUGGCAAUUCAAGGUGGCCCCAGAUGGUGUUCCUGAAAAUAGAUUCUAAGAGGAAAGCAUCAGUGCCACCAAGUGCUAC
rnacentral:misc_RNA from 1 species